rnacentral:lncRNA from 1 species
CCAUCCCUGACAAAUGGGAAGGCUUAAGGGGAAGAUUCGAGAAUUGAAGCAUUGAACCGAUGGACUCCAGGUGGGGCUAGCUAUCAGCAGGAUGACGGCUCCAACCCCAGAACUCUACCACCACCCUCGAGAGAGAUUCAGAGUGGAUAAACUCCAUGUUGAUUUGAGAUCCCACCUGAUGAGCCACAUGACAUACCCAUCGACGUCUUGGAUCAUCAAGAGGACUAGAGCAGGUGGAAUGGCAUGUCGGCAGAAAAGAGACAGGAUUCUUUGGCGGGC